rnacentral:rRNA from 1 species
GAUGAACGCUGACAGAAUGCUUAACACAUGCAAGUCGAUUCGAUUUACCUUCGGGUAUUGAGGAUGGCGGACGGGUGAGUAACGCGUAAGGAACUUGCCUCUUGGUCUGGGACAACUGUUGGAAACGACAGCUAAUACCGGAUAUUAUGAGAUUCUCGCAUGGGAAACUUAUGAAAGCUAUAUGCGCCAAGAGAGAGCCUUGCGUUCCAUUAGCUAGUUGGUGGGGUAACGGCCCACCAAGGCGACGAUGGAUAGCCGGCCUGAGAGGGUGAACGGCCACAAGGGGACUGAGACACGGCCCUUACUCCUACGGGAGGCAGCAGUGGGGAAUAUUGGACAAUGGGCCACAAGCCUGAUCCAGCAAUUCUGUGUGCACGAUGAAGGUCUUCGGAUUGUAAAGUGCUUUCAGUUGGGAAGAAGAAAGUGACGGUACCAACAGAAGAAGCGACGGCUAAAUACGUGCCAGCAGCCGCGGUAAUACGUAUGUCGCAAGCGUUAUCCGGAUUUAUUGGGCGUAAAGCGCGUCUAGGCGAAAAAAUAANUCUGAUGUUAAAAUGCGGGGCUCAACUCCGUAUUG